rnacentral:lncRNA from 1 species
GGCAUGUACCAACCUCAUUAAGUCUACACACACUUAGUAUAGAGGUUAGUACUAGGGUUUCAUCAAUUAUCCAAAACCAAACUUGGGCUUUCAACUGGGAGGCACUGAUUUUUUUGCACUUGAUGCUCUUCUACUUUGUUGUCUGGGUUGCUAAAUAAUACAUGGAGCAUAUUUAUGUUACUGUUUUAAAAUUAAGUGAUUGCUCCAUCUCUUCCGUUUGGUGUUUGUAGCUAAAGAAAGCGUGAAUCUCUUCUUUUCAAAAGGUGGUUGAAAGUACGAAAUUUUCCAGC